rnacentral:rRNA from 1 species
CGAAUGGCGUAAUGAUGGCCAGGCUGUCUCCACCCGAGACUCAGUGAAAUUGAACUCGCUGUGAAGAUGCAGUGUACCCGCGGCAAGACGGAAAGACCCCGUGAACCUUUACUAUAGCUUGACACUGAACAUUGAGCCUUGAUGUGUAGGAUAGGUGGGAGGCUUUGAAGCGUGGACGCCAGUCUGCGUGGAGCCAACCUUGAAAUACCACCCUUUAAUGUUUGAUGUUCUAACGUUGG